rnacentral:pre_miRNA from 1 species
UACUGCCAUUUCAUCUUGGCACUGGGAGAAUUCACAGUCGAUUACAUAAUAUUCUGUGGUUCUGCGGGUGCCAAAAUGUAAUGUGUGGAC